GAAGGGAUUUGUUGCUGUCAAUUCGGCGCUGGAGCUGCGUCGGUGACACACAGUGGAGGCCGGGUUCUGAGUUCUGCGUGCAGGGCUUGCACAUUCUGAGGUUGAGUGGUUUCCCUUGCAGUGCCCGCCUGCUAAACUGUUGCUUCCUUGGGAUCACUGACUAUGGACUGAAGCCUCUAAAACCGUGAGCCAAAUAAGCUUCUCCUCUAUUAAAUUGUAGGUGCCAGGUAUAUUGUGCCAGCAAAGGGAAAGUGAUUAAAAUAAUGCACAUAUACUUAAUAACUAGUCAUGCUACUUAUAUUUAUUUAAAUAAUGUAAAUAUUUGCUCAUUUUAUUGUUUUAUUUUUCUGAAUUUUUGGCACCCCUUUCCUCACUUCUUCUGAUUAAGAUGAUUAGCUAGCUCUAGCUCAGUUUCUUUAAUGGUUACUCUUAAAAGUUAAGCAUGUUUACUUAGCUUAAGAUCUCUAGUUCACUGACAGUGUCUCUUAAUUCCUUAAUAAUGCAGUGCAUUAUUGAAUAUAAGGCAAGAUCUCAAUUCAUAUGUCUCUCCAAACUCAGUUGGUGCUUCCUCACUGCUUGCUCAGGGCUGCUGGCCUACAGGGGACUGAUCCUUACACUUGAGGUAGCUGCAAGGGAAACAGCCUGUCCGUGAAGCCUGCCUGACUGAGCUCAGCUGUAUCUGUCAGCUGUGCUUUUGGGGGCUCCCGGGUCAUGAUAAGCAUGGCAGUGGCUUGGGCUUUACCCCUGUGGGAAUCAUACGGUGCAGUGGUAGAGUUCUUUUAGCCAGGAAGCCAGGCAAACUUUUUCUCUUUGCAAAAAUACAUUUUUUAAAUUUUAACUGUUUUAAAAUGUAUUUAACCAUCCAGGAGACUGGAUUGUGAUACCUUCCUCCAGCAUCCUCUGCCCCAAUAUUUUAUUGUGAACAUUUCCAAACAUAGAAAGAUUGAAAAAGUCUUGGUGACAGUCUCUAAUCAAUGUCCAAGUACCCAUCACCUAGAUUUCAGUCAACAUUUUACUACAUUUGCUUUAUCACAUAUCUGUCCGUUGAUCAAUCCUUGCAAUCUUUUGGAAAUGAAAAUUUAUAAACAUACAAAAUGAAAAAACAAUAUGAGGAAUACCUCCCUUAUACAGUGAGUGACAAUGAUCUGUCAGUUUCUUUGUAACUCUCUCCCUCCGAACUGUUUGAAUAUUAGCUCCAGACUGCAUACGCAGAUUUCAUGUUGACAAUCCUUUUCUUUCGGUACUUGAAAAACGAUCCCACCCCAUCAUUGCUGAUGAUAAAUUCACUGUUCCUUGAGUCGCUGUUCCCUUCUAUAUGUAAGAUGUAACUUUCUUUUCCUCGCUGCUUUCGUGAUGUUUUCUUCACCUGUAAUUUUCUGAAGUUUGUUUAUGAUGGUUCUUGUGAUUUUCUUUGAGUUUUCUUCUUUGAGAUUUUCUCAGAUUCUUGACAUUUGUAGACUUUUUCCAUAUUUGAACAUUUUCAGCCCAUAUUUCCUCAGAUAACAGCCGUGAUCUAUUGGCCUUAAACAAGGUACCUCCAAUGUCUUUUUCCCGUGCUUUUAAGAUGCCAAUUAUACAAACAUUAGAACUUGGUUUUGGUUCCACUGGUUUCUCAGGUUCUGUUUAUUGUUUUUCACUAUUUUCCCUGUUGUUCAUACUGGAAAAUGCUUAGUAUUCUGUUGUACAUUUCUCUGAUUUUUUCCCUCUUUUUAUCCAUUUUGUUGUUGAGUUCAUCCUUUUGAGUUCUUGAACAUGUAGUUAUUGUAAGUUUUCUAAAGUGCUGAAAUGUCCUUGUAGCUCUUCUCUAUAUAUUAUAUUUCUUUGCUAAUAUUUUCUAUUGUUCAUUUGUUUCAAAAAUUUGUAAUUGCUUUCUGAAGCAGUUUUGUAAUGCCUGCUUUAAAAUUCUUGUCGCACGUUCUAGUCCUAGUGCCUGUAUCGUCCUCACACAAACACUUGUUAUCUUUAUCGUUUUACACUGAGAUUUUCGUGUGUGUGUGUGUGUGUGUGUGUGUGUAUGUGUGAUUUUUUAUUGUAUCAUGGACAUUUGUGGUAUUAUGUUAGAAGAUUCUCAGUCUUAUAUCUUAAAGAUGUCUGUUUUGCACGUUUCCUCUGACUCUGUGCUGGUAGGAGAGGACAGAGGUGUCCUUUGCUGCUACCCAAAAGGUGCUGAAGUCCAGCUCCCACUUAGAACCCUCCUGACAGUGCAGGGAAAGUGGGAAGCAGCCGCCGCCUUCCACGUGGCUUCUGCUGGGGGAUGAGGAGGAGACGCGAGGUCUUGUGACUCCUGGCGAUGCUGAGGGCUUGCCUUCCCGCUCUGUGGUCUGAGUCUUCUGGGCCUCCCUGGGCUGGGGAGUGAGGUGGAGCCUUGUUAUAGCUGCCUAGAUUCCCUACUCUGUCCUUCUAAUUAAUAAUCUGUGGCCUUUGAGCCUUUUCUUGCAUAAGUGAAUGCAUACUGCUUUUCAAAAUUACGUGCUAAGCUGCAAAUAGACUUGUCCACAAUUCUCGCUUCUAAGGAAUGCUUCCCUUCUUUCGCUGUAAUGUGACCCUGGGUUACUAUUUUACUGUAUUAUAGUGUUUAAAAUUUCAUAAUUUACAAUUGUCACUUUGUACUUUAACAUCAAGUGCUCUGCAGUGGUCUCUUAUUAUAAAAUCAUGAAAUUUGUAUUUAUUCACAAAGAUAGAUAUUUAGGAUUACUCUGUAUUAAAAAGAACAAAUGAUAUUUUUAGACUACCUAUGACUCUUGAGGCAUUUUUUUUUUUUUUUUUUUUUUUUUUUUUUGGUACCGGGCAUCGAAUUCGGGACUUCUUGCUUGCCAGGCAGUCUCGGCCCCACUGAGCUAAAUCCCUGAUCCCGACUCCUGCCUUUUUACUAAGUGAGACUGAGUCUUUUAUUAUUUUGUUUGUCAAAAGAAAAAAUAUAAUACCUUGGUUAGCUGGGAAGGUGGUUUUCUUUUAUACCCUACUCCUUUAUCUCAGAUGCAAAUCAUACUUUUUAAUAUAAACUUGUGCAUAGAAUAUUAAGGCCUAUUAUAUUUUGACAGUGGGACUUAAGGAAUAUAUUCAAGUUUUCUUAAACUAUUAUGCUAUUUUCCUUUAGCAGCAAAAUACUUCUGAAAAGAAUAGAUUUUUUUUUUCUAAAAUUGUGCUCUCUAUUUUUCUUACUGUUGCUUUGUUCAGGGAAAGAAAUAAGAAUUGAAACAAAACCUCUGUAGUUAUUAUUACUCAGUGGUUUAAGACCUCUGACUCAUAGAAUUAUACAGAUUGAUGGAAGCAAUCCCUGCUUUUUAGAUAUAGUGUUGUUAACAAAAAAAGAUGUUUAUUUCAGUAAGUCUGGCAGACUGAAGUAAACGGUCUCUAAAAGGAACUAGGAAACUUUUGUCUCAGUACAAAUUUUAUUGUAGAACUUUCUAGGUCAUCUUAGUUAAAUCGCAUACCUUCUUAUCACAACAAAAGAAUCCCUCUUUUCUAACUUUAACAUUUUUUUUUGCCAGAAAAAAUUAAAUUUGUGCCAUAAAUGUAGAUAAUGUUGUGAAAACCAUGUAGCUUUUAUUUAGUCUUAAAAAUAUCUUCUAACAGUAUAAGCGUUUUUGCUGUUUUGGUCUCAAAAAUGUCUUAAAGUGAAAGCUAGAACUUCAUUUCUCAAAUGUGAGAAAGCUCAGACUUCAUUUCCAGGAUUGACUAUUGCUGUUUUUGCUACGAGUGAUAAACGGUUGGUUGGUUUUCUCUCCUUAGCACCCUGAAUCUCAGCUGUCCUGGAGUUAGAUACCAACCAUGCGGAUUCGGGCCUCAGUCAGCUUCGCAUAUGGCUGAGAGACGUGGAUUAAAAUAGCUGUGAGUAGUAAAUCAGUAUCAUGCUUAAGAAAUAUGCGGAAGUGUGUGGAUCUUCUGACGUGCUUCAGAAGCUCAAUAAAACCAAGCCAGCUACUUUCAAAGUAAGAAUUACGGCAAAAACAAAACAAAACAAAACAAAACAAAACAAAACAAAAUAAAACAAAAUAAAACAAAAACGUAGAAAUAACAAUGGUUUGAGGUGCAGAUUUGUCUCUGGAGAAACAAAGGAAGUCAAAGUCAUUUCAAAUUUCAGAGGAAUAAGACUUUACGGUACUUGGGCCACACAAACCCUGUGGCUGCAUCAUAAUGGAAUUUUUAUGUAAGACUUUCCGUGGGCAGUAGAAGCCCGCCACCACCCGUGUCUGCCAUCUCUGAGCUGGUUCUCAGCUGUAGCAAGCACCAGUACGAGUCCCUGCAUAUUUAUCUUCAGCUCAUACUCAGCGUUUGACAUGAAGAAUGAAGCCAAGAAUUACAUGGACCUCAGCUGUGCAUCUUAAGCCGCUCACAACUGGUUGCUAAGCAUAUUUGGCAAUUGGCAAAAACAAUGUAUAGCAAUGUUUAGUUUUCUCUCCGUGUGUGAUACUGAGUUACCUCCUUGCCGCAGAAGUCACUCUGAGCAGGAUGACGGGUAUGGGCUGGGGAGGAGCGGGGCAUGGCUAUCAGCCACGGUCUGUGGGCUACAAGAAGGUACCUCCCAGGCUGUCUGUGUAACAAGAAAGCCAGCUGAAAGGCAUCUGCCCUUUCCAGGCUGUUGGCUUCACUGUUUUCCACAGGAGGCAAUCCCAGUCCUGCAGCACACACACAGCAAGAGAGGCGUCCUGUGACUGGCUUUGUGCUUUGUUGGCUCCCGAAGCCCCCACCCUCCAGCCCCAUCCCUGGACUUAGGAGCUGUGUGUGCCUCUAGGUGGUGAACAGCAGCUCUUACCUGAAAGCACUCCUGUUGGUAGCCAUUUCAGGGAUGUGAUGAGAGCAUCCCUCCCUUUGUAUCCCACUAGCCAAUCAGUCCACCCUCAUGGCCUCUACUGGAGCUGGAACUCUCCCCUUCACCACGGGAACCCCUGCCUUUCUUGGUGAGAGGUGCUGUUUAGAGUGUAGACCCAUGGGAAGGAAGUGUUCUACAGAGCUGAGAUUUGCUGAGACUGUACCAUAUCUACAGUGUUGCAGUGUGAGAUUUACAACCGCAGGUAUUAAUAGUCUCAUCAUUUUGAUUAAGAAAAACCCCAAGACCCAGAAAUGAAUGCAAAAGGUGCCAAGUUGGUAAAUUCCUCUCGGGGAAAUCCCAUUUUGCAUUUUCAAACGAUGCUUUUUCAUAUGUUGGCAGGAAAGCUGUACCUUUUAUUUCCAGUUUACCUUGAAGUUGGAGUAUUUUGAAUGAUAGCCCUGAAAUCUUAGAAGUCCUGCUAAUUUGAUGAGGAUGAGGUCAUGACCGUGACUUUUGUGCAGUGCCAGCUACUCAUCAGGGAUGUCAGGAGGGAGGGAGAGAUGGACCAUAACUCACCCCCAGAAGCCCCAGAUUCAUCGUCUUGUUUUCUGUGGCAAGUGGAGCCUCCGGAGAUGGGGAGGGCUCUGGAAUAAGAGUAAUCCUAGGCCAUCAGCCCUGGGAUUUCCUGGUGACCUGCUCUGAUGCACGUAGAGGAGUGGCCUGGUGGUCCUGGUGGUGGGCAUGGUUCCCUCUGCAGCUGCAGGUCCAGGGUCGGGGCUGCAGAGGAGGCCCUGUGCCCUCUGUGGCCCGUGGCCUCUAGACAGCACCGGUUAGAAUGCCGUGGAGGAAGGAUGCUCAUCUUUGGGGUAUCCUCUCAGCACUCCUCCUCCACUGCCACCUUGCAUGAGUCCUUGCUCUGGAGGAGGGAUGCGGUGAGCAGCCUGUGGAGGAGGCGUCUGCAUUUCAGCAAGAUGAGCGCUAACCUUAGAGAGGGUGCAUGUGGUGGUUCCUGGAGCUCACCGCGCAGCAGGCCAGGCUGCUUGGCCACCUCUGAGCCCCUGCAGGUGCAGGCUCCAACGAAUGUCACAUCCAGUCAGAGCCACGCCGGUCUCAGGCCCCCUCAUGCUUGUCUUGUGCUCAUGUAUUUUGCUUCCAUGGCAGAGUUCAAUUCAUAGUGUUCUUACAAGGAUGCUGGCCGAGGCUUCUUCCCCAUCUUGUUGACAAAGGAGCCGAUUCACCUUUAAUACCCUUCAGGGCCAGGUGCUUUGUCCUUGGGAACUGUUUAAGAAUUGUUGAGUUUAUUUGUGCUUUUUAGGGCAAUAUGCCCUCAUUUUGGAGAUUGGAUUAGGAAAGUAUAAAGGAGAAUUAGAUGCUCAGCCCUUUUGUCAGCCGUUGUGUCAGGUCCCUUUCACGUGAGCUCCCCGAGGCCUUUCUUCUGUGUGCACAUAUUAAACAAAGCCACGAUCAUAGGAUAUAUCUGGAUGUGUUCCUUUUUUAAAAAAAAUCAUUUAAUCAUAAAUAGUGGGUCCAUUUUAUUUCACUUUACUGAAAAUUAGACAUUUUGCAUGACCGCAUUCAUGUUAGUAUUCUAUUGCUGUGUAAGAAAUUACUACUUUCCAUGUGGGUGCUUAAAACUCCACCGUCUACUAACUGAGAGUUCUGCAGCUAAGAGGCUUUCAUGGUACACGUGGGGCCAGUCUCCAGCAGGACAGAGCCCCUGCCCUUGUGCUGAGCCUCCUCCUCCAGCCCUGUGCACCCCCAGUUCCUCCCUGCUCAGAAUCCCAGUGUCUGGAAGCUCUGGGAAGAGCCUGCUUGGCGCAGUUCAGUUCCUGAGGCUGCAGGGCUGAGGGCUUCCCUUCCUCGCUGGCUGGCAGCCGGGGCUGCUCCUGAAGGCGCAAGGCCACCGGCCUCCCCUGUCUGCAAACUAGAGGUGGUGCCUGGGGUCACUGUGGUGCUUUCAACUCUGAUUCCCCAUUUUUGUGAUCUGCUGGACAGAACUCUCCACUUUUAAGGGCUCAGAUAUUUAGGUCACACUCAUGGGACAGUCUCCCUGUGUUAUCAUCCAUCUGGGUCUGUAGCCCAAUCAGGAGAGCAAAAUCCAUUGCAUGGACACAUUUCCGGGUGUUCCAGGACUUUUAUAUGAGGCCGAGGAAUCUUCAAGGCCGUUUUAUAUUUCACCUACUAGAACAUUAUAAUUUAUUGCAUUUUUUUGUGUUUACAAAUUGUGCUUGCUUCCACCUUUUGUUAGUACUAGGAAUAAUGUUCUUGGAUGGAUAUAUAAUAAAUGUUAAUUUAGAUAGAAAUGGUACUUUGUAAUUUUCACUUUUAUUUCUAGUGAAAUUCAAUAUGAACUUUUCUGUUUAUUGGUUAUUUGUAUUUUAUCUUAUAUGAAUGAUUUCUUGCCAUUUUUUCUCAUACAUAUUUUUCUGAUAUACAGCGCUUACUAAUAAAAACAUUAACUGGAUAAUUCUGUUACAAAUAAUUUACCUUUUCUAUGUACUUUUGAUAUAUGUAUGUAACAUGUGUGUGUAUAUGUGUGUAUGUAUAUAUAUAUGUAUAUACAAUAUCUUCUUUCUACCUAUGGUAUCAUAUUUUAAAGGUCCUUUUAUACCCUAGGAUUUUAGAUAUGUUGAUUUAUAUUUCCAUUACUCUCAUAUAUAUACUGCCAGAAAUACAUACACACUUCAGGAAAAGAAAGAUCCGCAUAAAUAUUUUAGUUCUAAAUUUAUUGAGACUUCAUGAGAUUAAUAACAAGUUAUUUUUGUCCUCUGCAACUACAAGAGGUGCUCAAAAUGGUAGCCUUUAGCUUCCAGACGUUUGCUGGGACGGGGAAGUGCUGCUUGGGUGAGCUUGGUCCCUGAGAUUGCUGAACACGCCUUUCCAGUUGCUGCUCUGAGGGCCAGCUGUGUGGUGGGUUUUCUGUGCUGUGUGACAUCAUCUAGGGUCCCCACGUGAGAGGAACACCGUCUGUUGGGAAAGCAUCACGCUGUUUUCCUUUCCCUGAAGAGUGUGUACAUUUUUUGGCAGAGUCUGUAUUUAAAUUUUAAUUUGCAUGAGAUUAAUGCUGAUAUGUAGCGUUAGAUAUAUUUAUUUUUUCCUCCAAAUGAUUUCACUGUGAUCCAAAUAUUCAAUAAAGAACUCAUCUUUGCCCUCUGA